AUACGUAGGGGGCAAGCGUUGUCCGGAAUGAUUGGGCGUAAAGGGCGCGUAGGCGGCCCGGUAAGUCUGGAGUGAAAGUCCUGUUUUUAAGAUGGGAAUUGCUUUGGAUACUGUCGGGCUUGAGUGCAGGAGAGGUAAGUGGAAUUCCCAGUGUAGCGGUGAAAUGCGUAGAGAUUGGGAGGAACACCAGUGGCGAAGGCGACUUACUGGACUGUAACUGACGCUGAGGCGCGAAAGUGUGGGGAGCAAACAGGAUUAGAUACCCUGGUAGUCCACACUGUAAACGAUGAAUGCUAGGUGUAGGGGGUAUCGACCCCUUCUGUGCCGCAGUCAACACAAUAAGCAUUCCGCCUGGGGAGUACGGCCGCAAGGUUGAAACUCAAAGGAAUUGACGGGG
rnacentral:rRNA from 1 species